CAACCAAGUCCAGUUACCGAGUGUGCCUCGUGUGUACUCACGGGAGACCCAGGAACCUGCGUGCAUCCUGGAAACCCAGAAUCGUUAAUUCUUAAACUCCCGCGAGGUUGGGCCUACUGCCAGGUUCAAGAAGGCGCAUCGCUGCCCGUGUUGCUGAAGAAUACUCACAGGUGUGGGGACAGAGGACGAGCCACGGGCCGCGGCUGCUAGGGAUCUGUCCCUUGGCUGGAAGGAUUUUAUGUGAAUCAGAAAUCCUGCCAGAAGAUUCAAGAAGCUGUAGAGGUGGCACAAAUCUGUGAAGGACCAGCAUGGGGAUCCUAUACUCCGAGCCCAUCUGCCAGGCAGCCUACCAGAAUGACUUUGGGCAGGUGUGGCAGCUGGUAAGAGAAGACAGCGCCUGCAUCAACGUGCGAGACGGCUUUAAUGGAGACACCCCCCUGAUCUGCGCUUGCAGGCGAGGACACCUGAGAAUCGUUUCCUUCCUUUUAAAAAGAAAUGCUGACGUCAACCUCAAAAACCGGAAAGGGAGAAAUUGCUUACAUUAUGCUGUGAAGAAGAGAUUCACCUUCUUUGAUUACCUACUCAUCAUCCUCUUGAUGCCCGUUCUGCUUAUUGGGUAUUUCCUGAUGGUGUCCAAGACCAAGCAGAACGAGGCCCUGGUGAGAAUGCUGCUGGACGCGGGUGUUGACGUCAAUGCCACCGACUGCGUAAGUCCCUGCGCUCGCUCAUCCGGAAAAACACUCGAGUCGGUGUUUGCCCGCAUGGGUGCAUCUCCUGCAAAGCUGCUCGCUGCAUUUUUUCUAGACACGUCUGCGUUUUCCUUUUCUUCCCCGGCACCCCAUUUUCUCUCUCUUUGUGCUCCUGCUGCUAGGCAGGCGGCCUGGAAGCCGUUGGGGUGCUGCUGCUGUGCUCAUGGGGAUGAAGCCUCCAUCGGCUCUGGGACGUUUUUAUUUAUUUCUUUAUUUCUAUUAAGAUUCUGUUUUAUUUCUAUUUGAGAGAGAGAGCAAGUAAGCGAGAGGGAGCACGAGUCGGGGGGCGGGGAGGGGACAGCGGAGGGAAAGGGAGAAGCAGGGAGCCCGACGGGGCUCCACCCCAGGACCCCGGGGUCAUGCCCGGAGCCUCACCCACUGAGCCCCCCAGCUACCGCCCUCGAGGACAUUUUUAAAGGAACCUCCAGCCUUUGGUGAGAAGUUAGGGGAAAUGCAGGCUCCGCUAAGGAACUUCCAUCCUGGGACAUUAAGACACCGGGGGCCGAACGCGUCUGUGUCACCCAGCCUGUCCCUCCGUGCCGGUGGGCGUUGUGGCCACUCAAACUCCACCUGACUCUCAGCUUUGCCACCUGUGAGGCCGGCUGCACCCCGCUGCACUACGCCUGCCAGAUGAAAAACCAGACGCUCGUCCCCCUGCUGCUGGAGGCCCGGGCGGACCCC